rnacentral:tRNA from 1 species
UGGGGGUUCGCUCGUGGGAAACAUGGACUGGAAAUCCACGUGUCGGCGGUUCGAUUCCGCCCCCAGCCA